UACGGGGGGGGCAAGCGUUGUUCGGAAUUACUGGGCGUAAAGGGCUCGUAGGCGGCCAACUAAGUCGGAUGUGAAAUCCCCAGGCUUAACCUGGGAACUGCAUCCGAUACUGGAUGGCUUGAAUCCGGGAGAGGGAUGCGGAAUUCCAGGUGUAGCGGUGAAAUGCGUAGAUAUCUGGAGGAACACCGGUGGCGAAGGCGGCAUCCUGGACCGGCAUUGACGCUGAGGAGCGAAAGCCAGGGGAGCAAACGGGG
rnacentral:rRNA from 1 species